rnacentral:RNase_P_RNA from 1 species
GCAGGGGGCCAGACGAUCGUCCGGCGUCGCGCUUCGCGACGCGGGGAGGAAAGUCCGAACUCCGCAGGGCAGUGCGCCGGGUAACGCCCGGUCGGGGUAACUCGAAGGACAGUGGCACAGAAAACACACAGCUGACGCUCGUAGUGCAGCCCUUGGGUUGCCUGCAGGCAAGCAAUGGUGAAAAGGUGCGGUAAGAGCGCACCGCGCCGGUGGCAACAUCGGUGGCAGGCAAAACCCCGCACGGAGCAAGGCCAAAUAGGGAGACGCUAUCAGGACGGCCCGUCCGAAGUCUCCGGGUAGGCUGCUGGACCCCUUCAGUAAUGAUGGGGCUAGAGGAAUGAUCGUUGCCCUGAGCGAGGCUCCGCAAGGAGACGAGCGAAGGGGACAGAAUUCGGCUUAUCGGCCCGCUGCGGCG